GGACAUUCCAGAUGUACUGGAGCAUAAAGGGAGGGGUUUUCAGAUUGUAACUCCUUCAGCUGUGACGAAGCUAGAAUGUUGUGUUCAGAGCUUUCAAAAUGCUGUGGCCUUGUUAGCGAUAGUGUGAUGGCCUGGGAUUCAGACUCGGAUGCUGAACCUGAGGGAUACCAGCCUGCACAGGAUCCCCCAGAACCAGCUGAGCCGGGGCUGGGGCAUGAGCCUGAAGGGUCCUCACCUGUGCUGGAUCCUCAGGUGCAGUCAUCAGCUGAGUCUUCUCUGGCUCCUGAGGUGAUGGAGGGCCCAUUGCCUGCAGGUGCUCCACUCUCAACCCCGUCAGGGAAGCUGAGGUUGCCUCUGGGUCCAGUAACCCUCCAGCCUCUCCUGAGCUGCAGAGGCUCAGGGCAGAGAGGAGGAGGGAACUACCGUAAGUUCUCGCAGGAGGAGUGCUCGCCUCCAGGCCAGGAGAAGCGAGUCACCAGAGGAUUGGGGCUGCCCUGUGCCUUGGCCAGCCCCAUCCCCAAGUUGCGGGAGCAACAUUGUUGGUUGUUAGUUCCUGUCUGAACCCUGUCCUGCUUUCCCGCCUGAGCUCCUGACCCACCUUGGCUCCUUGCUUGCAUGCCUGUUCCUGACUUCACCCGACUCCCUGCCCUGCACCCAGCUUCAGCUACUACGGACUGCCUCCACGUUGCACCUUUGACCACGGACCGGACUUGGACCUCUCCUCUCGGGUAACCCACGGGACCAGCACAGUUAGGGAUGCACCUGACCCAGGAAGAGGAGCUCCCCUACUCCAGAUCUGAGUGUAACAAGGCAGAUGCAGCAGGAGGCAGAAAGGGACCCCCAUCUCAAAAGACCCUUGAAUCAAGGUUUCCUGCUAACAGCCCAGCAAGACCAGUUUUGCUCGUCACAAUAUUAAUCACAAUAUUCACAAUAUCACAAUACUAAUCACACUGAGAAAUCACAACAAGCAGAAGUAGGGAUAUCCAAUGAUUAGCAAACUUGUUUAGGUGUUGAUAUGAGUAUUUUGAGAAACGUUUCAAUAGUAGUAUAUAUAUUUUUAAGGUGCAUAUCCACAGCAGAGCUCGGGUUUCUGGAUGCUAUGGUGAGCAGGGAAGCAGUGAUUGAGUGGAGGGGCAGCGCAGUGCGUCAUCCAGUAGCCAGGAUAAACUUCAAAGCACUCACGUGUGGACAAAGAUGCAGGAAUGCGCACAUGGAAACAGCCCAGGUAUGCAAUUACACGCUGCUGUGGACACAGCCUAAACUCCACCAUGUUCAAGGGGGCUGAUUCCCAGGCGUGUGUCCACAGGACUACAUGUGAAGCCGCAUAUUUGCAUUUCAAGGGAAGCCCGUGAUUGCAUCAGAGUAGAGGCUUCCUUUGCAGUGCAGCUUGGGGAGAGGGUGAACCAUGGGCAGGCGGAGAAAGGGUUAAACUCUCUCAAACGCACCUGCUCAGAAUCCUGAAACUGCUUGGGCUUCACUAAGACUGCUAACUGCAUCACAAAGCAGGCAUUUCCUAGGCCCUGGCAGUAGGCUCAUUACUUGCUAUUUUUCUUUCUUUCUUUUUAAAAAAAAGAUUACUUUCAGAGAAAGGGGCUAAUAUGGAAGCAACUGAUGAUAAUAAAAUAUUCACUUUCUGUGCCAAAGGCUUCAGUAAUGCUGUUGCUAAUUCUAGGAUAUCUCCUGCAGGUGGCACCUGUGCUGAGAGCAGACUCCAGAGAAACACAAAAGAUGCUCAAUGCAGCCGCCACGAGGCACAGAUUUGGUGAGGAUAUUGCCUGCAAGCGCUGCUUUUCUCGGGAUGACAAAUUGCUUAAUGAAUGUCCAGGCCAAGUGCUUUGCACAGAUUGCUCGUAGGCUGUGGAAGAACAAAACUCACAUUUCACAAAAGACUUGGAGCUCAUUGC